CAAUAGCGUAUAUUAAAGUUGUUGCAGUUAAAAAGCUCGUAGUUGAACUUCUGGCGAGGAGUAAGUUUGGCUUUGGUCGGCUUAAGCCUCGUCAUCCGAUUGCAAACUAUAUUUGUUAUUCAGUUAACAGUAUAGGGAGCAAUCAAUUUACUUUGAAAAAAUUAGAGUGUUUCAGGCAGGCAAUCGCCCGAAUACAUUAGCAUGGAAUAAUGGAAUAGGACUUUGGUUCAUUUGGUUGGCUAUUGAAUCAGAGUAAUGAUUAAUAGGGACAGUUGGGGGCAUUAGUAUUUAAUUGUCAGAGGUGAAAUUCUUGGAUUUAUUAAAGACUAACUUAUGCGAAAGCAUUUGCCAAGGAUGUUUUCAUUAA
rnacentral:rRNA from 1 species